GCGUGGCUUCCGGAGCUAACGCGUUAAGUCGACCGCCUGGGGAGUACGGCCGCAAGGUUAAAACUCAAAUGAAUUGACGGGGGCCCGCACAAGCGGUGGAGCAUGUGGUUUAAUUCGAUGCAACGCGAAGAACCUUACCUACUCUUGACAUCCAGAGAACUUUCCAGAGAUGGAUUGGUGCCUUCGGGAACUCUGAGACAGGUGCUGCAUGGCUGUCGUCAGCUCGUGUUGUGAAAUGUUGGGUUAAGUCCCGCAACGAGCGCAACCCUUAUCCUUUGUUGCCAGCGGUUAGGCCGGGAACUCAAAGGAGACUGCCAGUGAUAAACUGGAGGAAGGUGGGGAUGACGUCAAGUCAUCAUGGCCCUUACGAGUAGGGCUACACACGUGCUACAAUGGCGCAUACAAAGAGAAGCGACCUCGCGAGAGCAAGCGGACCUCAUAAAGUGCGUCGUAGUCCGGAUUGGAGUCUGCAACUCGACUCCAUGAAGUCGGAAUCGCUAGUAAUCGUAGAUCAGAAUGCUACGGUGAAUACGUUCCCGGGCCUUGUACACACCGCCCGUCACACCAUGGGAGUGGGUUGCAAAAGAAGU
rnacentral:rRNA from 1 species